rnacentral:sRNA from 1 species
UGACCUGCGGAGGAUCAUUAAAGGGUGUAAGGGUCUGCCAGGCCCGACCUCCAACCCUAUGUGUACUUUACCUUUGUUGCUUUGGCGGGCCCGAUGGGGAAACUCACCGGCGGCCACGGGCUGUCGAGUGCCCGCCAAAGACCCAUCGAACCCGGUCAACCGUGCAGUCUGAGUACCAAUCUAAUCGUUAAAACUUUCAACAACGGAUCUCUUGGUUCUGGCAUCGAUGAAGAACGCAGCGAAAUGCGAUAAGUAAUGUGAAUUGCAGAAUUCAGUGAAUCAUCGAAUCUUUGAACGCACAUUGCGCCCUUUGGUAUUCCGAGGGGCAUGCCUGUCCGAGCGUCAUUACACCACUCAAGCCCGGCUUGGUGUUGGGUCCUCGUCCCUGUGGACAUGCCCGGAAAUCAGUGGCGGCACAGCCCGGCUUCAAGCAGCAUUAGUUGAUCUCUCGCUUUGGAAGCUCGGGCUUGGUCCGGCCAGACAACCCCCAAAUUUCUUAGAGGUUGACCUCGGAUCAGGUAGGGAUACCCGCUGAACUUAAGCAUAUCAAUAAGCGGAGGAAAAGAAACCAACAGGGAUUGCCUCGGUAACGGCGAGUGAAGCGGCAACAGCUCAAAUUUGAAAUCUGGCUCUUUCAGGGUCCGAGUUGUAAUUUGUAGAGGAUGCUUCGGGUAUGGCUCCGUUCUAAGUUCCUUGGAACAGGACGUCGCAGAGGGUGAGAACCCCGUACGUGACCGGCCGCCACGCCCAUGUGAAGCUCCUUCGACGAGUCGAGUUGUUUGGGAAUGCAGCUCAAAAUGGGUGGUAAAUUUCAUCUAAAGCUAAAUAUUGGCCAGAGACCGAUAGCGCACAAGUAGAGUGAUCGAAAGAUGAAAAGCACUUUGGAAAGAGAGUUAAACAGUACGUGAAAUUGUUGAAAGGGAAGCGCUUGCAACCAGACUUGCCCGCGGGCGAUCAGCCGGUAUUUUUACCGGUGCACUCGCCCGCGGUCAGGCCAGCAUCGGCCUGGGCGGCUGGAUAAAGUCCCCCGGAAUGUAGCUCCUCUCGGGGAGUGUUAUAGCCGGGGGUGCAAUGCAGCCCGCCCGGACCGAGGACCGCGCUCCGGCUAG